AUCCGCCCUGUCUUUAUAUUCUUCAGAGCAAUCCAUAUGUCGUGCCUUUGUCCACCUCUCAAUUUGUUGAUGCUUAUGGAACAGUCACUACAUGAGAAGUGAGUCAAUGUUUAGCCUUAUUGGGACUACAUGGAGGUUCCAUGGACGGUAUUAAAGAGACCAACCCGAGUGUGUCGUCAAAGAUGGGAUCCUUAUCUCGAACUUGAAGAGAGAGAAGAUUGAGAGCUGCCCAUGAGGUUACUGGUAUUUUGAACUCCUCCAUCCAUUUUGGAUUGAGUGUUUUCUUGUGGAUCUUUGUCUGGAAACGAUAGGGUCCAAGAUGGCCUUUCACGUAUGGAUCAG